GACGAACGCUGGCGGCGUGCUUAACACAUGCAAGUCGAACGGAAAGGCCCUGCUUUUGUGGGGUGCUCGAGUGGCGAACGGGUGAGUAACACGUGAGUAACCUGCCCUUGACUUUGGGAUAACUUCAGGAAACUGGGGCUAAUACCGGAUAGGAGCUCCUGCUGCAUGGUGGGGGUUGGAAAGUUUCGGCGGUUGGGGAUGUACUUGCGGGUUAUCAGCUUGUUGGUGGGGUAGUGGCUUACCAAGGCUUUGACGGGUAGCCGGCCUGAGAGGGUGACCGGCCACAUUGGGACUGAGAUACGGCCCAGACUACUACGGGAGGCAGCAGUGGGGAAUAUUGCACAAUGGGCGGAAGCCUGAUGCAGCAACGCCGCGUGCGGGAUGACGGCCUUCGGGUUGUAGGCCGCUUUCGCCUGUGACGAAGCGUGAGUGACGGUAAUGGGUAAAGAAGCACCGGCUAACUACGUG
rnacentral:rRNA from 1 species